GGCGCGAUGGUAGAGAGGCUAUGCAGCGGACUGCAACUCCGUGUACGCCGGUUCGAAUCCGGCUCGCGCCUCCA
rnacentral:tRNA from 3 species